GUCUUUAAAUAUCAGCUGUAUUUGUACUCGGAUCGAAACAGGUGUAAUAGCUCGCUAAAAGCUCGCAUACACCUUGUUUCCUAGCCUCGUACAAAUACAGCUGAUAUUCAAAGACACUAAACAGUUAUUGUCUAUGUAUUGAUAUCAUUUUCUAUGUUCAGUGGACCGUGAAAUGUUGGUCAAAACUCUAAUCUGGCAUUCAAAUUAGAAAAAUCAUAUCAUAGGGAACAUGUGAACUUAGUUUUAAGUUGAUUUGACUUCAACUUCACCAAAAACUACCUUGACCAAAAUUUUAACCUGAAAAUCAGGACAGACAUAUGAACGGACGGACAGAAGAACGGACGCACAGAUCGAUUACCAUAAUGACCAUCUUCUAUCGUAGGGGGCAUAAAAACAACUAGACUGUACAGCUUUGCACGGGUUUUGCAGAGAUUGGUUGAAUGUUGUUUGAUUUUCGUCCAGUGACAAAUAUUUCAUACAUUUUCUGGACGAGGUUCACAAGUGGUGUGACAGUACUAUGAUAUCGUAAUUAAUCAAGUAAAAAAAUCAAACUGGCUUAUUAUUUGAUUUUGUUCAAAUCUAGAAGUGCAUACUAGAAAAAUCAUCGUCCCUAUCCCUUGCAAAC
rnacentral:lncRNA from 1 species